UUGAAACCCUGGAGGGAGAAGUAGGCAGAGGGGCUCCAGGAAGGGUAAGGGAGAGGGUGCCUCAGACCUGCAGACAGCAGGAGACAGACAGCCCGGGCAGGGAGAGGAGCUCAAGCCUGGAGGUGCCAUGCCAGGAGCUCUCUGCUAGAAGGGGGGGGGAGUCUCCCUGGAGCUCAUACCAUGCAGCAGCAGCACCCCAAGUGGAACAGGCUGGCAGAGCUUGAAUCUGGCUGUCACCAAGAACCAUGAGCCAGAUGUGUCCUAUGGAUGUGCAGAAUCUUAUAGGCGUACGUCAAGACGCUUGGUUGAGGGACCACCAGGUGUCUCUACUAUGGCGUUCCUGUUCCUACGGGACCUGAGUGGACUCGCUUAGGCCAGCCUAUUCCUCAUGCUGCUUUCCCUCCCCCGCUCCCCUCCUCCUUCGUUCCUUU